rnacentral:rRNA from 1 species
UACGUAGGGGGCUAGCGUUGUCCGGAAUCAUUGGUCGUAAAGAGCGUGUAGGCGGUCCGGUAAGUCCGCUGUGAAAGUCGGGGGCUCAACCCUCGAAUGCCGGUGGAUACUGUCGGGCUAGAGUGCGGAAGAGGCGAGUGGAAUUCCUGGUGUAGCGGUGAAAUGCGCAGAUAUCAGGAGGAACACCAAUUGCGAAGGCAGCUCGCUGGGACGUAACUGACGCUGAGACGCGAAAGCGUGGGGAGCAAACAGG